CUACGGGUGGCAGCAGUGAGGAGUAUUGCACAAUGGGGGGAACCCUGAUGCAGCAACGCCGCGUGGAGGAUGACGCAUUUCGGUGUGUAAACUCCUUUUAUAUGUCAAGAAAAUGACGGUAGCAUAUGAAUAAGCACCGGCUAACUCCGUGCCAGCAGCCGCGGUAAUACGGAGGGUGCAAGCGUUACUCGGAAUCACUGGGCGUAAAGGACGCGUAGGCGGGUUGGAAAGUCAGGUGUGAAAUCCUACAGCUUAACUGUAGAACUGCACUUGAAACUUCUAAUCUAGAGUAUGGGAGGGGGAGAUGGAAUUAGUGGUGUAGGGGUAAGAUCCGUAGAUAUCACUAGGAAUACCUAAAGCGAAGGCGAUCUCCUGGAACAUUACUGACGCUAAGGCGUGAAAGCGUGGGGAGCAAACAGGAUUAGAUACCCGAGUAGUC
rnacentral:rRNA from 1 species